rnacentral:rRNA from 1 species
AUUGAACGCUGGCGGCAGGCCUAACACAUGCAAGUCGAGCGGAUGAAGGGAGCUUGCUCCUGGAUUCAGCGGCGGACGGGUGAGUAAUGCCUAGGAAUCUGCCUGGUAGUGGGGGAUAACGUCCGGAAACGGGCGCUAAUACCGCAUACGUCCUGAGGGAGAAAGUGGGGGAUCUUCGGACCUCACGCUAUCAGAUGAGCCUAGGUCGGAUUAGCUAGUUGGUGGGGUAAAGGCCUACCAAGGCGACGAUCCGUAACUGGUCUGAGAGGAUGAUCAGGCACACUAGAACUGAGACACGGUCCAGACUCCUACGGGAGGCAGCAGUGGGGAAUAUUAGACAAUGGGCGAAAGCCUGAUCCAGCCAUGCCGCGUGUGUGAAGAAGGUCUUCGGAUUUUAAAGCUCUUUAAGUUGGGAGGAAGGGCAGUAAGUUAAUACCUUGCUGUUUUGACGUUACCAACAGAAUAAGCACCGGCUAACUUCGUG